AUGCCGGAGCAGAUGGGGAUUCAGCGUCCUACCCUCAGCCUUUGCUGGCCCUUCCCACUCCACGCUGGCCCUCAGAUUGGGGAACUUUCAACAGACCAGACAACAGAAACUAAGACUAACAGUGAACGUGAAAGAAACACAUCCUUAUGCUAUUCCGGACCAAAUACCUGGACUCUUGUUGCUGACUGCGCUGCAGGGCUGCAAGCAGGGCAGUGUAUUGUCUCGUCUCAGAUGCCAGCAACCUGUUCUGUGAUGCCUGGCCCAACGCAGAGAAGCAGAGACACCAGAUAACCCCUUCUGCUCAUCCCCAAUGUCUCCAGUAAGCACCCUGAUGACCGCUCUUGACCACAUCCAUGCCUGUCCCUCCAGCGUCUGCUCCCUGGGCUGUCAGCAUCUCCAGAGCCCAUCUGUCCUUCCAACAGCCCUCCUCAGGGAACUAUAUUCACUUUAAAGGAAGAAGAAGAAGCUCAAAGACCUUAUGGGACAUCUGUGGGUCAUCGGAGAGCCCUGCAAGAAGCUACAUAGCCUACUACGGGUCCUGCAAAGGGAACACAGACCACACAUCAGCAUUUAUUGAGGAUCUGCUCAAACAUGGAAGCCCGAGUCUCUAAGGAAGGAUGGUGACCCUUAUGUGAUAGAGGAAGAGAUGGAAGCUUGGUAUGUUUUCACCAGCAUUUCACUGUCACAGCUCUGACCUCUCUGACUCUAAGCCCACAAUCUUGUUUUAUUAAGCAAAAUGUAUCUUGUUUUCUCAGAUUACAUGUUUAUUAUAGAGUAAAUUAGAACUAACACAAAGAAAUCACUCUGUUAUCACCAUAGUAUGUUUCCUUGUCAUAGACUAGAUCUAGAGGCAUAAAUAUUGACAUAGGCAUUUCCGAGAUUGUGAUUAUACCAAAUGUACAACAUUUUAUUCUGCUUUAUUUCACUUAACACGAUAACGUGAGUAUUUAAUGUUUACUGAAAACAUCUUCUUAAUGAUUACAUUAUAUUCUAAGGCAAAAAAAUCCUGGCAUCAUGUAUGUACUAAGUCAUUCAAUUACAGUUGUAGAGGAAAAUCAUUUACAACAUUGUAUGAUUUCCAUGAAUAUUUGUAAGCAUAAAGGCUGUAGAGUUACUUUCUGAUGGUAAAAUUCUAGAAAUUGUCACAGGUCACGAACCUUUUUUGAGUUCCAGUUUUGUAUAUGUAUGUAUACAAAUGUACCAAAAUAGCUCCCAGGAAAGUGAAGUUUAUUUACACACACACACACAACAGUUUUUCUGUUUUAUCUGUUUCGUGCAUAUUUGUCAGUACUGCAACCUGCCAAAUUCAUAAAUUCAGUCCAUUUGAUUAUUUAAAAUAGUAUUUUAUGGAACAGAGCAGCAUGGUAGAGUACGAAGAGUACAGCUUUGGAGCUGGAGAGCUCGCUGUGAAGUAGCUGGAACUUGACCGGUAUGUGGUCUGUAGAUAAGUCAUUUACCUUGCCCCAUGCCUCAGUUUCCUGACCAGUGACAUUUGGAACAUGACACCUGCUUGGUGGGCCUGUUGUGAACAUCAGAAAAAAAAAAAAAAAGAACUAAUGGAGGUAAGUGGCACUCAGUAAGGAGAGGUACUGCAGUCUCGGUAAACCUUCCAAUUUCCAACAUUUGAUCGACCAGCCAUGUCCAGCCCAACUUGAACUUUCAUGUCCAUUUUCCCCUUGACCGCAGGUUCUUUGAGCUGAAAGGAUUGAGUUCUCAUUUAAAAAAGGGAGUAUUGCCUCUGUAGGUUCUUCUAGCAGAUCAGAGUAGGGAGGUGAGGCAGAAAGGAUGCUGCACCCCAGGCAGCUGCUCCUAGAAGAGGCAUGGCUGUGAGUGUCUGAGGCAAAAGUCAGGCCAUCCCAGAAGAGCCAGGAGGAUCUGACGCACAGCCGAGGGGCCACACCACGGACAGGGUUCAAUGAAGCAGGGGUACAGGAAGAACCUUGGGGUAUAGGAAGAAAAUUUAUAUGUACUUUUUAAUUUAAGGAAGUUUAAAAAAACAUAACUAAGCUAAAAAUAUAUACAAAUAAAAAUAUUUGUAUUUUUUAAAGAUUUUUUUAA
rnacentral:lncRNA from 12 species